CUGAUGCUUAGGGGAGGAAGCCUGCUGUACCAUACUUCGGCGGCCCCGCCUAGUGUUACAUGGAAGGCUCUGCAUUUCAAAGCGGGCGAGGCUCCCCUUAGGCUCAUCUGUGUCAUGUACUUGGUGAGGUGCUUCUCCGGGUCUCCCUUUCCUUCAUACUUGGGGAUCUUAAGGGGCAUGAAAUUUGCUGGCAUUGGGAAGCUUCGGAUCUCUCUUGAGAAUGAGAGGUUAUCAUCAUCA
rnacentral:lncRNA from 1 species